rnacentral:rRNA from 1 species
GAUGCCGGCGAGCGCGGACGGGUGAGUAAUGCCUAGGAAUCUGCCUGGUAGUGGGGGAUAACUCGGGGAAACUCGAGCUAAUACCGCAUACGUCCUACAGGAGAAAGCGGGGGAUCUUCGGACCUCGCGCUACCAGAUGAGCCUAGGUCGGAUUAGCUAGUUGGUGAGGUAAAGGCUCACCAAGGCGACGAUCCGUAGCUGGUCUGAGAGGAUGAUCAGCCACACUGGAACUGAGACACGGUCCAGACUCCUACGGGAGGCAGCAGUGGGGAAUAUUGGACAAUGGGCGAAAGCCUGAUCCAGCCAUGCCGCGUGUGUGAAGGAGGUCUUCGGAUUGUAAAGCACUUUAAGUUGGGAGGAAGGGCAGUAAGUUAAUACCUUGCUGUUUUGACGUCACCGACAGAAUAAGCACCGGCUAACUUCGUGCCAGCAGCCGCGGUAAUACGAAGGGUGCAAGCGUUAAUCGGAAUUACUGGGCGUAAAGCGCG